AUGCAAACAAUGGGGGAGGGGCCAAGGUCAGGUCUUCAUUGGCUUCACUUUUGCCCGAUUUGGCCCUUUUUUCACCCAAUUUGGGGCCGACUUUCUCCGUUUUCACCACUUCCCGGUUCUUAUCCCUUUUAUUUACCCCAUUUCACCCUUUUUUGCCCCAAAUCUGCCCCAUUUUUCCCCAUUUCCCCCAUUUCUUUACCCAAAUUUGUCCUUUUUUACCCAAAUUUGGCCUUUUUUCCCCCAUUUCUCCCCCUUUUUUACCCAAAUUUGCCCUUUUUUACCCCAUUUUUUGUCCAAAUUUGCCCUUUUUUACCUCAUUUCUCCCCCUUUUUUACCCAAAUUUGUCCUUUUUUACCCAAAUUUGCCCAUUUCUCCCCAUUUCCCCCCUUUUUACCCAAUAUUGCCCCUUUUUGCCCCAAAUCAGCCCCCAUUUCUCCCCAUUUCCCCCAUUUCUUUACCCAAAUUUGCCCUUUUUUACCCCAUUUUUCACCCUUUUUUUCCCAAAUUUGCCAUUUUUUGCCCCAAUUCAGCCCCAUUUCUCCCUUUUUUACCCCAAAUUUUCCCAUUUUUACCCCAUUUCCCCCCCUUUCUUUAUCGAAAUUUGUCCUUUUUUACCCAAAUUUGUCCCUUUUAACCCCAUUUUCCCCCUUUUUUACCCAAUAUUGCCCUUUUUUGCCCAAAUUUGCCCCUUUUUUGCCCCAUUUCCCCCCUUUUUUACCCAAAUUUGCCCCUUUUAACCCCAUUUUAACCCCAUUUUUACCCAAAUUUGCCCUUUUUGCCCAAUUUUGCCCCAAUUUACCCCAUUUUCUCCCCUUUUUUACCCAAAUUUGCCCUUUUUUACCCCAUUUCUCCCAUUUUUUACCCAAAUUUGCCCUUUUUUACCCCAUUUUUUGUCCAAAUUUGCCCUUUUUUACCCCAUUUUCCCCCUUUUUGUCCAAAUUUGCCCUUUUUUGCCCCAAUUCUGCCCCAUUUCCCCCCAUUUUGACCCAAUUUGACCCUUUUUCACCCCAAUCCGUGUGGGCUGGGGGGAGGAGGAACUGGUUUGAACUGGUUUGA
rnacentral:lncRNA from 1 species